GGGUUGGCUUUAGCUCUAGCUGUUACUUUGGCUGUCAGACUUCACUGCCACCAAUCCUUGUAUGGCGUUCAAGACCCAUGGGUGCUUUCCAACCCUCAA
rnacentral:vault_RNA from 1 species